CCCUUAGAUGUUCUGGGCUGCACGCGUGCUACACUGAUUACUUCAACAAGUGUUUUAACUGGAGAGUUUGCGUAAUCCUGAAAUGUUAUCGUGAUGGGAGUAGAGUAUUGUAUUUGUUAAUCUUUAACGAGGAAUUCCUAGUAAGUGUAGGUUUAUAAGUUGUUCUGAUUACGUCCCUGCCCUUUGUACACACCGCCCGUCGCUCCUACCGAUUGAUUGAUCCGGUGAAUUACAUAGAAUUUUGCGUUUUACGUGACGGAAGAUGAAGUGUUUUAAACCUUAUCAUUUAGAGGAAGGAGAAGUCGUAACA
rnacentral:rRNA from 1 species